rnacentral:rRNA from 1 species
UACGGGGGGGGCAAGCGUUGUUCGGAAUUACUGGGCGUAAAGGGCUCGUAGGCGGCCAAUUAAGUCGGAUGUGAAAUCCCCAGGCUUAACCUGGGAACUGCAUCCGAUACUGGUCGGCUUGAAUCCGGGAGAGGGAUGCAGAAUUCCAGGUGUAGCGGUGAAAUGCGUAGAUAUCUGGAGGAAUACCGGUGGCGAAGGCGAGUCUCUGGACAGUUACUGACGCUGAGGCGCGAAAGCCAGGGGAGCGAACGGG